rnacentral:rRNA from 1 species
AACGAACGCUGGCGGCAGGCCUAACACAUGCAAGUCGAACGCCCCGCAAGGGGAGUGGCAGACGGGUGAGUAACGCGUGGGAACGUACCCUUCGGUUCGGGAUAACUCAGGGAAACUUGAGCUAAUACCGGAUACGUCCGAGAGGAGAAAGAUUUAUCGCCGAGGGAUCGGCCCGCGUCUGAUUAGCUUGUUGGUGAGGUAACGGCUCACCAAGGCGACGAUCAGUAGCUGGUCUGAGAGGAUGAUCAGCCACAUUGGGACUGAGACACGGCCCAAACUCCUACGGGAGGCAGCAGUGGGGAAUAUUGGACAAUGGGCGCAAGCCUGAUCCAGCCAUGCCGCGUGAGUGAUGAAGGCCCUAGGGUUGUAAAGCUCUUUUACCCGGAAGAUAAUGACGGUACCGACAAGAAAUAAGCCCCGGCUAACUUCGUGCCAGCAGCCGCCCG